rnacentral:rRNA from 1 species
UACGUAGGGGGCAAGCGUUGUCCGGAUUUAUUGGGCGUAAAGAGCGUGUAGGCGGUUCGGUAGGUCCGUUGUGAAAGUCCAGGGCUCAACCCUGGAAAGCCGGUGGAAACUGUCGAGCUCGAGUCCGGAAGAGGCGAGUGGAAUUCCUGGUGUAGCGGUGAAAUGCGCAGAUAUCAGGAGGAACACCAAUGGCGAAGGCAGCUCGCUGGGACGGUACUGACACUGAGACGCGAAAGCGUGGGGAGCAAACAGG